UACAGAGGGGGCAAGCGUUGUUCGGAAUUACUGGGCGUAAAGGGCGCGUAGGCGGCCUUCUAAGUCGAACGUGAAAUCCCUGGGCUCAACCCAGGAACUGCGUCCGAUACUGGAAGGCUUGAAUCCGGGAGAGGGAUGCGGAAUUCCAGGUGUAGCGGUGAAAUGCGUAGAUAUCUGGAGGAACACCGGUGGCGAAGGCGGCAUCCUGGACCGGUAUUGACGCUGAGACGCGAAAGCGUGGGGAGCGAACGAGG
rnacentral:rRNA from 1 species